AGACGGGAAGGAACUAACAUAUUCAAGCUUACUUCUGGCUGUGUCACUGACCCAACAGAGGCCAGUAGGUCCAGCAUGGCAAGCAUGGCUCCAGGAUGAAUGAUGACUGCAUCAGAACUCUGGAGAGAUGAAGUUGUCACAUGUAGUUUCAGGUCUGAGAAGCAGCCAAGAAAUCGAACAGCAUCUGCCAACUUCUCAUACUGAAUCUCUGUUUUGAAGAAAUGAGAGUUGGCUGGCUCAUAGCGCAUUGCUGCAGUCAACGUGCAGAACACAGUGUGAAGAAGUUCAAACACUUGAUUCUGGUUCACUUUCUCCCAGCCAUUCUUGGGUGGACAGCUCAAAGAUCUUUCCAUAGCAACGAGCAAGGAUGUAAUGUACACAAAUCCUCCAACUUUCCUAAAAACUGUUCUUGAACGAUGGCUUUCUCGAAGGACCGACAGGAGGGCCUACAGGAGACAAAAGAAAAAACAAAUGAAAAUACACAUAAUUAAAA
rnacentral:antisense_RNA from 1 species